UGCUAAAUAGUUCAGUCCGUUGAGCACGAGAAUCUGAAUCUCAGGAUCUUGGGUUCGAGCCCCACGUUGGGCAA